rnacentral:rRNA from 1 species
GUGAGGAAUUUUCCGCAAUGGGCGAAAGCCUGACGGAGCAAUGCCGCGUGAAGGAUGAAGGCCUAUGGGUUGUAAACUUCUUUUCUCAGAAAAGAAUUAUGACGGUAUCUGAGGAAUAAGCAUCGGCUAACUCUGUGCCAGCAGCCGCGGUAAGACAGAGGAUGCAAGCGUUAUCCGGAAUGAUUGGGCGUAAAGCGUCUGUAGGUUGUUUAAAAAGUAUUCUGUCAAAGAUUAGGGCUUAACCCUAGAUAGGCAGAAUAAACUUUUAAGCUAGAGUUUGGUAGAGGCAGAGGGAAUUCCCGGUGGAGCGGUGAAAUGCGUAGAUAUCGGGAGGAACACCAAAGGCGAAGGCACUCUGCUGGGCAAAUACUAACACUGAGAGACGAAAGCGAGGGGAGCAAAUGGGAUUAGAUACCCUAGUAGUCC